rnacentral:rRNA from 1 species
UACGGGGGGGGUAAGCGUUGUUCGGAAUUACUGGGCGUAAAGGGCGCGUAGGCGGAUCGUUAAGUCAGAGGUGAAAUCCCGGGGCUCAACCCCGGAACUGCCCUUGAAACUGCAGUGCUAGAAUUCUGGAGAGGCGAGUGGAAUUCCGAGUGUAGAGGUGAAAUUCGUAGAUAUUCGGAAGAACACCAGUGGCGAAGGCGACUCGCUGGACAGACAUUGACGCUGAGGUGCGAAAGCGUGGGGAGCAAACAGG